rnacentral:rRNA from 1 species
CGGGGGGGGCAAGCGUUGUUCGGAAUUACUGGGCGUAAAGGGCGCGUAGGCGGUUUGCUAAGUUGGAUGUGAAAACUCUGGGCUUAACCCAGAGCCUGCAUCCAAAACUGGCAGGCUGGAGUUUUGGAGGGGGAAGCGGAAUUCCUGGUGUAGCAGUGAAAUGCGUAGAUAUCAGGAGGAACACCGGUGGCGAAGGCGGCUUCCUGGACAAAAACUGACGCUGAGGCGCGAAAGCUAGGGGAGCAAACAGGAUUAGAUACCCUGGUAGUCCUAGCCCUAAACGAUGGAUACUUGCUGUGAGGGGGAUUGAAUCCCUUCGUGGCGAAGCUAACGCAUUAAGUAUCCCGCCUGGGGAGUACGGUCGCAAGGCUG